ACUCCUACGGGAGGCAGCAGUGGGGAAUAUUGCACAAUGGGGGAAACCCUGAUGCAGCAACGCCGCGUGAGCGAUGAAGGCCUUCGGGUCGUAAAGCUCUGUCCUAUGGGAAGAAGAAGUGACGGUACCAUAGGAGGAAGCCCCGGCUAACUACGUGCCAGCAGCCGCGGUAAUACGUAGGGGGCAAGCGUUAUCCGGAAUCACUGGGCGUAAAGGGUGCGUAGGCGGCCUAAUAAGUCAGAGGUGAAAGGCUACGGCUUAACCGUAGUAAGCCUUUGAAACUGUUGGGCUUGAGUGCAGGAGAGGUAAGUGGAAUUCCUAGUGUAGCGGUGAAAUGCGUAGAUAUUAGGAGGAACACCAGUGGCGAAGGCGACUUACUGGACUGUAACUGACGCUGAGGCACGAAAGCGUGGGGAGCAAACAGGAUUAGAAACCCCGGUAGUCC
rnacentral:rRNA from 1 species